CUGAAUGCGCACGCGCGGCAAGAGCUGCGCGCGCAUUCAGCCGGUCACAUAGGAAAGCAUUCAUAAUGCUUUCCUAUGGACGCUGGCGUGCUCUCACUGUGAAAAUCACAGUGAGAAGCACGCAAGCGCCUCUAGUGGCUGUCAAUGAGACAGCCACUAGAGGAUCAGGGGGAAGGCUUAACCCAUUCAUAGACAUAGCAGUUUCUCUGAAACUGCUAUGUUUAUAAAAAAAAAUGGGUUAACCCUAGCUGGACCUGGC